GAUGAACGCUGGCGGCGUGCCUAAUACAUGCAAGUCGAGCGAACAGAUGAGGAGCUUGCUCCUCUGACGUUAGCGGCGGACGGGUGAGUAACACGUGGAUAACCUACCUAUAAGACUGGGAUAACUUCGGGAAACCGGAGCUAAUACCGGAUAAUAUAUUGAACCGCAUGGUUCAAUAGUGAAAGACGGUUUUGCUGUCACUUAUAGAUGGAUCCGCGCCGCAUUAGCUAGUUGGUAAGGUAACGGCUUACCAAGGCCACGAUGCGUAGCCGACCUGAGAGGGUGAUCGGCCACACUGGAACUGAGACACGGUCCAGACUCCUACGGGAGGCAGCAGUAGGGAAUCGUCCGCAAUGGGCGAAAGCCUGACGGAGCAACGCCGCGUGAGUGAUGAAGGUCUUCGGAUCGUAAAACUCUGUUAUUAGGGAAGAACAAAUGUGUAAGUAACUAUGCACGUCUUGACGGUACCUAAUCAGAAAGCCACGGCUAACUACGUG
rnacentral:rRNA from 1 species